CAAACUCCUUGGUUCAACUCCACAAUCUUGUUGGAGGCUCCCAAGUGACACCUAGCCAAUCUAGGAGACACCACUCUCCAAGAGGUAACAAAUGGUGUGUUGAUGAUGAACUCCUUGCUCUUGUGCUUCAAAUGAUAGUCUCCCCAACACUCAACUCUCUCUCACAGGAUUUGGAUUUGGUGGAAAGAAUAUUUGAGUGGAAAGCAACUUGGGGAAGGCUAGAGAUCAAGAUUCAUAUGGUUGGGAUGGAAUAUCUUGACCUCAACACAAGUGUAGGUGGUUCUCUCUCAGAAAAUGUGUAUUGGAAGUGUAGGUAUGUUCUGAUGGCUCUCUCCACGAAUGAAGAGUGGGUGGAGGGGUAUAUAUAGCCUCCACACAAAAUCUAACCGUUACACACAAUUUGCCAAACUCGGUGGGACCAAAUGAUUAAACUCGAUCGGACCAAUUCAGCAAACCUAGUGACCGUUAGGAUUUUCGGUGGGACUGAGAUGCAACUCGGUAGGACCGAUAUGGUUAGGGUUAGGGCAUAACGUAAUCUUGGUGUGACCGAUUACACAAACUCGGUGGGACCGAUUUUGGUAAUAAGCUAACCAGAGAGUUGGUCAGGCAAACUCGGUGAGACCGAUUACACAAACUCGGUGGGACCGAUUUUGGUAAUAAGCUAACCAGAGAGUUUGCAUUGUAAUCUCGAUAGUACCGAUUGCUCAUCUUAGUAAGACCGAAACGUUACGAAGGGAAACAGAGAGAUUACAAUCCCAUCUCGGUGAGACCGAGAUCCCUAUUGGUGAAACCGAUUUGCUAGGGUUUGUGGCAGUGGCUAUGACAUCUGAAACUCGGUGGCGCCGGAUAGAUAGAAUCGACGGGGCCGAGUUUGACUUUUGGUUUAGGUCAUAUGUGGAUGUGGGAAGGUAGUUGAGGGUUUUGGAGCAUAUCACUAAGCACUUUGAGCAAGCAUGCCAUUAAGCAACACCUCAUCCCCUCUUGAUAGUAUUGGCUUUUCCUAUAGACUCAAUGUGAUCUUGGAUCACUAAAAUAGAAAAUGUAGAGUCUUGAUCUUGAAGCUUGAGCCAAUCCUUUGUCCUUAGCAUCUUGAAGGGGUUCCACAUCCUUCAGUCCAUGCCACUCCAUUGUUGAACUUAUCUGAAACAUACUAGGUAAAAGUGUUAGUCCAACAAGAGAUAUGUUGACAUUAAUUACCAAAACCACCUAGGGAGCACUUGUGCUUUAAGCGCCCCCUACCUCGUGACCUCCUCUUUUGUGUCUUGACGUACGGUCCAAGUCUCCUGGGUCUUGUUCUUUGAGAAAAUCACGUUCCCGAAGGUUUCAUUCUAUUUGGACUCCGUUUGAUAUUCCUUUUCUUCGAAACCCUAAAACAGGCAAAAAACAGCAAUUCUGGGCUGGGCCUCCGGUUAAUUGGUUAGUCCCAAAAAUAAUAUAAAAGUGGAAAAUAAAGUCCAACAAUGUCCCAAAUAGUAGAUAAUAUAGCAUGGAGCAAUCAAAAAUUAUAGAUAUGUUGGAGACGUAUCAAGCAUCCCCAAGCUUAAUUCCUGCUCGUCCUCGAGUAGGUAAACGAUAAAAACAUAAUUUUUGAUGCAGAGUGCUACUUGGCAUAAUUUUAAUGUAAUUCUUCUUAAUUGUGGUAUGAAUAUUCAUAUCCUAAAGAUUCAAGACAAAAGUUUAAUAUUGACAUAAAAAUAAUAAUACUUCAAGCAUACUAACAAAGCAAUUAUGUCUUCUCAAAAUAGCAUGGCCAAAGAAAGUUAUCCCUACAAAAUCAUAUAGUCUAGCUAUGCUCCAUCUCCACCACACAAAAUAUUUCAAUCAUGCACAACCCCGAUGACAAGCCAAGCAAUUGUUUCAUACUUUUGGUGUUCUCUAACUUUUUCAAUAUUCACGCAAUACAUGAGCGUGAGCCAUGGACAUAGCACUUAUAGGUGGAAUAGAAUGGUGGUUGUGGAGAAGACAAAAAGGGAGAAUAUAGUCUCACAUCAACUAGGCGUAUCAACGGGCUAUGGAGAUGCCCAUCAAUAGAUAUCAAUGUGAAUGAGUAUGGAUUGCCAUGCAACAGAUGCACUAGAGCUAUAAGUAUAUGAAAGCUCAACAAAAGAAACUAAGUGGGUGUGCAUCCAACUUGCUUGCUCAUGAAGACCUAGGGCAUUUUGAGGAAGCCCAUCAUUGGAAUAUACAAGCCAAGUUCUAUAACGAAAAAUUCCCACUAGUAUAUGAAAGUGAUAACAUAGGAGACUCUCUAUCAUGAAUAUCAUGGUGCUACUUUGAAGCACAAGUGUGGUAAAAGGAUAAUAACAUUGCCCCUUCUUUUUUUUUCUCUCAUUUUUUAUUUGGGCCUUUUCUCCUCUCUUUUUUUAUGGCCCCUUUUCUUUUUUUUCGUCCGGAGUCUCAUCCCGACUUGUGGGGGAAUCAUAGUCUCCAUCAUCCUUUCCUCACUAGGACAAUGCUCUAAUAAUGAUGAUCAUCACACUUUUAUUUUCUUACAACUCAACAAUUACAACUCGAUACUUAGAACAAAAUAUGACUCUAUAUGAAUGCCUCCGGCGGUGUACCGGGAUAUGCAAUGACUCAUGAGUGACAUGUAUGAAAGAAUUAUGAAUGGUGGCUUUGCCACAAAUACGAUGUCGACUACAUGAUCAUGCUAAGCAAUAUGACAAUGAUGGAGUGUGUCAUAAUAAACGGAACGGUGGAAAGUUGCAUGGCAAUAUAUCUCGGAAUGGCUAUGGAAAUGCCAUAAUAGGUAGGUAUGGUGGCUGUUUUGAGGAAGGUAUAUGGUGGGUAUAUGAUAUCGGCUAAAGGUGCGCGGUAUUAGAGAGGCUAGCAAAGGUGGAAGGGUGAGAAAAGUGUGUAUAAUCCAUGGACUCCACAUUAGUCAUAAAGAACUCAUAUACUUAAUGCAAAAAUCUACAAGUUAUCAAAGCAAAGUAUUACGCGCAUGCUCCUAGGGGGAUAGAUUGGUAGGAAAACACCAUCGCUCGUCCCCGACCGCCACUCAUAAGGAAGACAAUCAAAAAAUAAAUCAUGCUCCGACUUCAUUACAUAACGGUUCACCAUACGUGCAUGCUACGGGAAUCACAAACUUUAACACAAGUAUUCUUCAAAUUCACAACUACUCAACUAGCAAAACUUUAAUAUCACCAUCUUCAUAUCUCAAAACAAUUAUCAAGCAUCAAACUUCUCAUAGUAUUCAACACACUCAUAAGAAAGUUUUAUUAUUAAUCUUGUAUACCAAGCAUAUUAUGAUUUUAAGCAAAUUACCGUGCUAUUUAAUGUUGAAAAUAUGCCCUAGAGGCAAUAAUAAAAUUUUAUUAUUGUAUUUUCUUGUUCAUGAUAAUUGUCUAUUGUUCAUGCUAUAAUUGUAUUAACUGGAAACCGUAAUACAUGUGUGAAUACAUAGACCACAACAUGUCCCUAGUAAGCCUCUAGUUGACUAGCUCGUUGAUCAAUAGAUGGUUAUGGUUUCCUGACCAUGGACAUUGGAUAUCGUUGAUAACGGGAUCACAUCAUUAGGAGAAUGAUGUAAUGGACAAGACCCAAUCCUAAGCAUAGCACAAGAUCGUGUAGUUCGUUUUGCUAGAGCUUUUCUAAUGUCAAGUAUCGUUUCCUUAGACCAUGAGAUUGUGCAACUCCAGGAUACCGUAGGAAUGCUUUGGGUGUACCAAUCGUCACAACGUAACUGGGUGACUAUAAAGGUGCACUACAGGUAUCUCCGAAAGUGUCUGUUGGGUUGGCACGAAUCGAGACUGGGAUUUGUCACUCCGUAUGACGGAGAGGUAUCUCUGGGCCCACUCGGUAAUGCAUCAUCAUAAUGAGCUCAAUGUGACUAAGGAGUUAGCCACGAGAUCAUGCGUUAUGGAACGAGUAAAGUGACUUGCCAGUAACGAUAUUGAACAAGUUAUUGGGAUACCGACGAUCGAAUCUCGGGCAAGUAACAUACCGAUUGACAAAGGGAAUUGUAUACGGGAUUGAUUGAAUCCCCGACAUCGUGGUUCAUCCGAUGAGAUCAUCGUGGAACAUGUGGGAGCAAAUAUGGGUAUCCAGAUCCCGCUAUUGGUUAUUGGCCGGAGAUAUGUCUCGGUCAUGUAUGCAUGGUUCCCGAACCCGUAGGGUCUACACACUUAAGGUUCGGUGACGCUAGAGUUGUUAUGAGAAAUAGUAUGUGGUUACCGAAGGUUGUUCGGAGUCCCGGAUGAGAUCCCGGACGUGACGAUGAGUUCCGGAAUGGUCCGAAGGUGAAGAUCGAUAUAUUGGACGAAGGGUAUUGGAGUCCGGAAUUGUUCCGGGGGUACCGGGUGACGACCAACGUGUCCGAAAGGGGUUUCGGAGGCCCCGACAAGUGUUGGGGGGCCUUAUGGGCCAAGGGGAAGGGGCACACCAGCCCACUAAGGGGUUGUGCACCCCUCCCGCCCCAUCUCACGUACCAAGAGAGGUGGGGGCGCCUCCCCUAGGGUAGCCUCCCCUCCUGGCUUGGGGGGCAAGUCUCCUAGGGGUGGGGGCGCCCAAAACCCAUCUAGGGUUCCCUCCCUGGCCGCCGCCCCUCCCCUAGAUGGGAUAUUAAGGGGCCGGCCCCCUCUCCCCUUCUCCUAUAAAUAGUGGGGGUGGGAGGGCUGCCAGAAGACCUAGACCCUUCCCCUGGUGCAGCCCCUCCCCCUCUCCUACACCUCAUCUUCCUCCGUAGCGCUUGGCGAAGCCCUGUCGGAGAACCACGAGCUCCAUCACCACCACGCCGUCGUGCUGUCGGAGUUCUCCCUCAACUUCUCCUCUCCCCUUGCUGGAUCAAGAAGGAGGAGAUGUUCCCUGGCUGUACGUGUGUUGAACGCGGAGGCACCGUUGUUCGGCGCUUAGAUCGGAAUUGACCGUGAUCUGAAUCACUGCGUGUACGACUCUGCCAGCCGCGUUCUUGUAACGCUUUUGCUUAGCGAUCUUCAAGGGUAUGAAGAUGCACUCCCUCUCUCUCGUUUCUAGUAUCUCCUAGAUUGAUCUUGGUGACACGUAGGAAAUUUUUGAAUUAUUGCUACGUUCCCCAAUAGUGGUAUCAGAGCUAGGUCUAUGCGUAAAUUCUAUGCACGAGUAGAACACAAAGUAGUUGUGGGCAAUGAUUUGUUCAAUUUGCUUGCCGUUACUAGUCUUAUCUUGAUUCGGCGGCAUCGUGGGAUGAAGCGGCCCGCACCGAUCUUACACGUACACUUACGUGAGACAUGUUCCACCGACUGACAUGCACUUGAUGCAUAAGGUGGCUAGCGGGUGUCUUUCUCUCCCCCUUUAGUCGGAUCGGAUUCGAUGAAGAGGGUCCUUAUGAAGGGUAAAUAGAAAUUGGCAUAUCACCGUUGUGGCUUUUGCGUAGGUAAGAAACGUUCUUGCUAGAAACCCAUAACAGCCACGUAAAACAUGCAACAACAAUUAGAGGACAUCUAACUUGUUUUUGCAGGGUAUGCUAUGUGAUGUGAUAUGGCCAAAAGGAUGUGAUGAAUUAUAUAUAUGUGAUGUAUGAGAUUGAUCAUGUUCUUGUAAUAGGAAUUACGACUUGCAUGUCGAUGAGUAUGACAACCGGCAGGAGCCAUAUGAGUUGUCUUAAUUCAUUGUAUGACCUGCGUGUCAAUGAAAAACGCCAUGUAAUUACUUUACUUUAUUGCUAACCGUUAGCCAUAGUAGUAGAAUUAAUAGUUGGCGAGACAACUUCAUGAAGACACGAUGAUGGAGAUCAUGAUGAUGGAGAUCAUGGUGUCAUGCCGGUGACGAAGGUGAUCAUGCCGCGCCUUGAAGAUGGAGAUCAAAAGGCGCAAGAUGAUAUUGGCCAUAUCAUGUCCCUUUAUGAUUUGCAUGUGAUGUUUGUCAUGUUUACAUCUUAUUUGCUUAGAACGACGGUAGCAUAAAUAAGAUGAUCCCUCACUAAAAUUUCAAGAAAGUGUUCCCCC
rnacentral:rRNA from 1 species